UACAGAGGUGGCAAGCGUUGUUCGGAAUUACUGGGCGUAAAGGGCGCGUAGGCGGCCUUCUAAGUCGAACGUGAAAUCCCCGGGCUCAACCCGGGAACUGCGUCCGAUACUGGAAGGCUUGAAUCCGGGAGAGGGAUGCGGAAUUCCAGGUGUAGCGGUGAAAUGCGUAGAUAUCAGGAAGAACACCGGUGGCGAAGGCGGCUCGCUGGGCCAGUUCUGACACUCAUCCGCGAAAGCGUGGGGAGCAAACAGG
rnacentral:rRNA from 1 species